UACGUAGGUGGCAAGCGUUGUCCGGAAUUAUUGGGCGUAAAGCGCGCGCAGGCGGUUCUUUAAGUCUGAUGUGAAAUCUCGCGGCUCAACCGCGAGCGGUCAUUGGAAACUGGAGAACUUGAGUGCAGAAGAGGAGAGCGGAAUUCCACGUGUAGCGGUGAAAUGCGUAGAGAUGUGGAGGAACACCAGUGGCGAAGGCGGCUCUCUGGUCUGUAACUGACGCUGAGGCGCGAAAGCGUGGGGAGCGAACAGG
rnacentral:rRNA from 1 species